GGGAAUAUUGGGCAAUGGGCGCAAGCCUGACCCCGCGACGCCGCGUGGGUGAUGAAGGCCUUCGGGUCGUAAAGCCCUGUCGGGCGGAAAGAAUGGUCUUGUGGGGACAAACUGCAGGACGUGACGGUACCACCGAAGGCAGCACCUGCCAAUUCCGUGCACGCAGCCGCGGUAAGACGGAAGGUGCAAGCGUUGCUCGGAAUCACUGGGCGUAAAGGGUGCGUAGGCGGCUUGGUAAGUCUGGUGUGAAAGCCCCGGGCUCAGCCCGGGAAGGGCGCUAGAAACUGCUAGGCUGGAGUGCCGGAGGGGAGAGUGGAAUUCCUGGUGUAGCGGUGAAAUGCGUAGAUAUCAGGAGGAAUACCGGUGGCGAAAGCGACUCUCUGGACGGUGACUGACGCUGAGGCACGAAAGCGUGGGGAGCAAAC
rnacentral:rRNA from 1 species